ACACACGGCCAUGACGACGAAGGUCCUACCAGAGCAAUGCACGAUUGCUGUUGCAGAGGAGCUUGCGACCUUUCUGAGGACGGAAGCUAUAGAUGACAAAUGACGAUUUAGUGUAGCUAGGGGCCAUUACUGAUGUUCGUCCAUGUAAUCAAAUAGACGGGCUCUAGUCCCGAUAAUUCAGAUCUCCAUAUAAUUCUAUAUAUAUGUUCGCUUGUAAGAUAAGUUAACCUUAU
rnacentral:lncRNA from 1 species